UGCCUUUCCUCUUGUGUUCUACCGCAUCCCAUACUCUUCCUUCGCGAGAGAGGGCGACUGGGGACGGGCUGAAGCGCCACCGCCCGCGCCCCCGGUCCGGUGCCACCGCCAUCACCUCCAGGCGAAGUGUCGCGCGGGCGCGCUGUAGCCGCGCGGCGGACGGGAAGCGCCGUCUCCGUCGAGCUUAUUAGCUGCCGAGGCUACCGCUGGCCGCUGCAGCUUUGCCGCCGCCGCCAGCCGUGCAUCUCCCUGCUGCGUGCGCCCCCGGCUGCCGCUGGGCACACGCCGCAGCAAGGUCACCGCGCCCGACAGGGCAAUUCCCCUCUCAAGGAGGAAAGCACAUAUGUGAGUCAGGACCUUCUUGUUAAAACGUGAACCAGGGACAUGCAGACGGAUGACGUCAUUGACCUUGUGUCAGAAGACGAUAUUGCCUCCUAUGAGGAGACAACUUCUGAAGAUACUGAAGAUGUGAAAGUCUGUGACGUAUGUGGAGAUGUUGGUGAGGAGAAGAAGCUCGCUGUUUGCAGCAGAUGCAAUGAUGGUGCUGUGCAUAUUUACUGUAUGUUGGUAAUGCUUAAAGAGGUUCCAGAGCGCGGGUGGUUGUGUGAUGAGUGCCAAGCUGAGGUAGAAAUUGAAAUUGAAAAGAAGAAACUUGAGAAAUCUCAAGUAAAUUUUGUCAUGGUUUCCAUGGAGAAUAAAGUUGGUGCUGAAAAGGCUAAAGACGCGUCUAAUGUGGCUUGUUGGAAUAAAAGGUUAAACAGACAGAGUGAGGCCAAUUUUUUAGAAGAGAUCAAAGAUGUGAAAGUAUGUGACAUUUGUGGAGAUGUUGGUGAAGUGGAGAAGCUCACUGUUUGUGGUAGAUGCAAUGGUGCCGAGCAUGUUUAUUGUAUGCAGGUGAUGAUGGAAAAGGUUCCAGAGGUCAUGUGGUUGUGUGAAGCAUGUCAAACUGAGGUAGAAUUUGCAGAGGAAAGGAUGGAACUAGAAAAAUCCCAAUUAAUGGUUGGUGCAUGUAAAUUAGAGUCCUUUGGAGGGCAAACGAAUAAACCUGUGGAUGAUGCAAAUAGUGGAAGUUAUUUUGAGGAUGAAAUGGAGGCUGGACAUGUGAGUAGUAAAACCUCAAACAUGAGAAAUCAAUCCAACAGUAUGGCUACCAAGAGGAUAGGAGACGAUGCAACAAUUACAUUACUGAUUGGAAAAGAUCUUUCUGAAUCUGGUGGUGUAUCCAUGGAAGGUGACUCCGCAAAAAGAGUGCCGCUUUCACGCAAAAAUUCACUCAAGCUGGAAACAGAGAAAGGAAAGGAACCUGCUAGGCCAAUGCCAACACCAUUGACAUUGAAUGCUCUGAAGAAUCAGGCACCACCUCUUUGUGGUCCACUCCCGAAGUCUAUUUCUUUCAAGAACUCAAAGGUCCCGAAGGUGAAACAACUGGUCAUUGAAGUUCCUCAAAAGCCCAAAAAUCUGAAGGAACCUAUAUCCUUAAUUACAAAACAAGACGGGCCAGUGAUCACACUUGCUAAGUCGACAUCAGUCAAAAAGCCAAACUCUACUGAGCCAGUAAGUAAAGGAAAGUCUUCCAUCUUACUAGAUGUUGAGGAACCAAGAAUGAUGAAUUCAGUAAUGAGCCGAAAUGUAACGAAUAAGAGGGGCACUUCUAUAUCUGGAUAUCCCUCUGUUGCUGCAUCAAUGCUUGUGCCAGUUCCUUCGAAAGCAGAAUCCGCAGCUCAGCAUCUCAAUAAACAAAAUAAGACGGAUAAUUUAGGCAUCGCUUAUGGACAAGACGGUAGAAACUUUCCUGCACCUAGUGAACCAAAGAGACAGCUUGUAGCAAAAAUCCCGGGAAGCCUAACGUUAAUUAGUGCUGAGACAUCCUCAGGUAUGCUUUGUUCUGGUGCACAGAUGAAGGGAAUUCAAAUCCCAGAUACUUCACUGGUUGAUAAAAUAAAGAACCCACCUAGCUUGAAGCCAGGUACUUCUUGCAGCAGUUGCACAAUGCAUUGUCAACAAUGUGAUGAAGUGGGACAUUCUACACAAUUUUGUCCUGUUGGCAGAUCUAGCUUGUUUGUAACAGAACCUUUGAGUGAGCAAACCAGUGACCAAACUGCCAGAUGCAAUAGAACAUCUGAAGCUACUACUUUGUCUGCUACUGAAGACAUUUUGAAAUCAGCAUAUCAAUCUGAGCCAAGUCCAAAACGCCGCCGCUAUCAUAACCCAUCAUAUAAGCCUAUAAAUGUUUUAUGUACCUCCAUUAGUCAUGAGGAAAGCAGUGAGCAGGAUGUGAGAAAUGGUAUGCCUACUCCUAGUACUACAGCUCCUGUAGAUUGUCACGAGCUAAAAUACAAAGAGCAUCAGGCUGCAUCUGCCAUGGGAGGAAGAUUUGUGGACAGCAGUUCAACUAUGUUGAAUGAUCCUGCGGACAAAUCGCCAAUCUUUUCACCUAGUGAUGACAGAAUAACUUCUAGUGUUCCAGAGUUGGCUUACAUUUGGCAAGGUUGUUUUGAAAUAUGGAGGACUGGACGGUCAUCUAAGUUUUGUAAGGGCUUGCAAGGACACUUAUCAUGUUCUGCUUCACAAAAGGUUUUGGAUAUAGCAAAGAAAUUCCCUUCUAAAAUCCGGCUUGAGCAACUUCCUCGCCGGAAUAUAUACCCCCCACAGUUCCAUGGAAAUGGCCUUUCAUAUGACAGUAUUGGUCUUUUUUUCUUUGCAAGAGAUAUCCAGAGUUAUGAGAGGCAUUACAGUAAGUUAGUAGAAUGGAUGCUGAAAGGCGAUUUGGCACUCAGAGGAAACAUUGAAACAGCUGAAUUGCUCAUAUUUCCUUCCAAUAUCCUGCCAGAAAGCUUUCAAAGAUGGAACAUGUCCUAUUAUCUAUGGGGUGUAUUUAGAGUCAGAAGAAAAGACCCUAACCUUCCAUAUCAUAUACCCACAAGAAAACAUUGUAAUUUCAAUGGGAAUCUCUUGGCCGUGGGUCGAAGAACUCAUGCUCACGCUUCUUCUGGCCCCAGUUUCUAUUACUCACCUACUUGUGAAGACUCUCCACCUAUCAUGCCCUUGGAAGCUAAUCAUGAGGGUUGCCCCAAUGGUGAGAGUUCUCUAGGUUAGCCUUUCUGUGGACGACCUUUAGAAGAUCAGCAUCAUGAUUCAGUUACAGCUAGCUUAUCAACAAAUAAACAUAGCGCUAUUAAUGAAUUUUUCACAGCUCCAACAAGAAAAAAGCAGGUAAAGAGAGCACAACUGUCAACCAUGACAGUGCAGAGGACCUGUGGGGACCCGGUCUAGUUGACCUACAACGGCGACCGCAAUCAGUAUGUCGCUAAUUGAUAUCAUAGGAACAUCCACACAGACCAAUCACGCACUUACAUUGCUGGGACCAGAUUGGUAUACAUGCAUAUAUAUACGUGUGUAUGAAGGAAUUCUUUGUGAAGUUUGGGUACGCUUAAUAUGAGCGGUGAGCAGAACAUGUUGCUUCUCCCCUUCUCUCUAACGAAAGUGGGAGCUCGCCUAGGCAGAUUGCGUAAGCUGUAGGCGGGUGCUGGGCGGAAGAAAAGUGAUGACCAGGCGAGGUGAGUGGCGAAGAGAGGGAGCAAAAUUGAGACAAGACAGGGAAAGGGUCUCAGGGUAGGGUUGGGAAACUUAUCAGAUCAAGAGGGGUGAGGGUGAAACUGAAGAGAGCUUGGUGGCGGGAGUAAGGACCCCCACUCUGCCGCGUGCUCCUCUUCCCCUGCUCGCUCACUGUUUGAGUGAUUGGUGCUUGCUGCUGCUUGGUUGUUGGCGUUCGAAUCACUUGUUUCAUCAAUGUGACUUUCUUGACUGCA